rnacentral:lncRNA from 1 species
AUGUUAAAAUUGAAAAUGUUUAUUACAGAGUUAAUUUCACGAAUAAAAAAUUUUAAAAAAAAUAAAAAAAUAAAAAUACCCCAAUGCAGAGGCUAUAAAGUACUCUAUUUCGGGGUUGGAGAUUUGGAAAUGAGAUUGGUCACCAGAGUGAAUACAUGAGACUCUUUGCAAAGUGUAAUGAAUGAAUAUGAUUUACAUGUUCCAUGUGUUCAGGUCAUUCCAGUCAGGUAUGCAAAGUUUAUGGGCAUUAGGAGUUAACUUAUUGUGGGUUUUUUUUUUUUUGCAUAUUAGAGAAUUUGGAAAAUAGAAGUAUAAGUUUCUACUGAUGUAUCAAUGGAAAAACCAUUUAAAGCAGAUGUACAUUUGAAUUACAACGUAAAUUCAAUGUAACAAGUGUACUGAGUACUUUACUAAGGCCAGUACUUGAGUAUACAAAUAUAAACAGGACACAGUUCAUAUUCUCCAUGAGGUUAUCAGCUAAUGGGUGAAGGUGGGGGGCAUAAGACACACUCUAAUUACUUUACUAAAGAGUGAAGUAAAACAGAGGAAACUGCCAUUUAAGAUAGCAAGUUGAAUACAUGAUUAGAUCUGCUUCUUCCUGAAAUCCCACCAAAAUGACAGUAAAAAGAUUUUUGACACACAAAGACAUAGAGAGCAGGAGGAGAGAAAACAAAAUAAGACUACUGGAAGCUGGAAAGCAACUGGACUAAUGACAACUGAUUUAGCAGAACUGGAAUAGUUGAAUCCUAAGCCUACAGUGGAAAAAAAGCAAGUGAAUUACAUUAUAGAAUUCUCAAGAAACAUGGGAGAUACAGGAUCUGAGGUAUCUUUGAAAAUGUAAACUGAAGCUAAAAGUCUGAAAGUCUGUUUACAAUAACCUCCCUACAACUCUGUCCCACCCAGCAGAAUACUUAAGUAAGUUGCUGACCUAAUAUCCGAUUACUCUUGAAUGCUUUUCUAUAUACAUAUUCUACAAAUAAAAAUAUUUUCUUACAUGGACA